UGAUGGAGUUGCAGCAUCCCUUAGCCUCAGGUCCCCCGGAGGGGGAGGGAACAGGAAGCGGGAGGGAAUAGCAGCCAUUUCUCUGCACUGACCGAUCUCCACGCUUGCAGCUCCCACCCAUUUCCCCGGAAUCCAGGCGACUCCCGCGCUUAGUGUUGCGCCAUGCUGGAUAUUUUCAUCCUCAUGUUCUUUGCCAUCAUAGGCCUGGUGGUUCUGUCCUACAUUAUCUAUCUGCUCUAGUGGCCUGGAGCGGCCGGGGCUGCGAGGGGAAGGAUGGAGCUGAAGCGCCGAGCAUCCUGCUUGCUGACGCACCGGUGGAUUUUUGCUUCGGGUCAUUAUUCGGCUCCGGUGUCCCGUCCAGCAAGACGGCUCUGCCCAAAAGCAGGAGUCCGGAGGCCCAACUGACUUCUUCCAAUGUGUCCGGAUGUGGCUAACCCUUGGCAAGCAGGGGCUCUGUGAGGCAGAGGCACUCCUGGGGACAUCAGGAGUUCAAGGAUGCCUGGCAGCUGCUGCAUGUGUUUAAGCUGUAGACAGGGUGUAUUGAAAAUGUGGAAGGUUGAAAUGUAGAAUCAGUAAAGUCACAGUGGAGAGCUGCUCAAAUGUUCAUACGGGCAGCCUUUCCCUGGGUCUAAAUGCAACUGCACACGAUGCCAACAUUCUUUCCUUUCUGUUUCACGAGCAGGCGUACCCUUGUGGACUCAAGGGCAAAUUCAGCUUCUCUGUCUCUUCAGUGUCUUUAUAGACCAUACGGUCUGAGUUGUGCGGAUUCCCUUGAUCUGCAGCCUCCCCGCAAAAAACCCUGCCAUUUGCAUUCUUAAGAUUUAUUAUUUCUUCCCUCCUUAUCCCAUUUGUCCCCAGCUUCUUAUUUGAUGAGAGAUAUGGUUGUGAAGUUCUUAUUCUUUGUGCCUACCUAUAAAGCAUUGAAACAAAAUGUCUAUAUUAAUUUAGGAAAAUAAAUUUUACCUCUAAGGGAGGGGUUUUAAAACAUUUUUUUGAUUGUUAAAUGUUCCUUUUGUUUAAAAACAAAACUGUUUUCAUAUUUCCUUGACCAGUUAGGGUUGGGCAAAAACAAACAAACAAACAAACAUGUUUUAGGAUACAGAGUGGAUUUGGCCUGAAUCUGGGGUGUCUGUUAUUCCCUUGGAGAGAGACACCAUCAUAACUGUUCUACACUGAUUUUCUUUUCUAGCUUAAAAAUAAACAAGGAAAAAGAAGGAA